GAUGAAGAACGUAGCGAAAUGCGAUAAGUAAUGUGAAUUGCAGAAUUCAGUGAAUCAUCGAAUCUUUGAACGCACAUUGCGCCCGCUAGUAUUCUGGCGGGCAUGCCUGUCCGAGCGUCAUUUCAACCAUCAAGCCCCAGCGCUUGUGUUGGGGGCCUGCGGCUGCCGCAGCCCCCUAAAAGCAGUGGCGGGCUCGCUAUCACACCGAGUGCAGUAGUUCAUCUUCUCUCCGGUCUUGUGAGGCGGGUUCCGGCCGUGAAACACCCCACUACAUUCAAGGUUGACCUCGGAUCAGGUAGGAAUACCCGCUGAACUUAAGCAUAUCAAUAAGCGGAGGA
rnacentral:misc_RNA from 1 species